GUUCACGGCGUACUGUUCGAUGUUGACUCAGUUCUUGGGUGCCUGAGAGGGAGAUCAGAGGAUCUGUUUGAGUGGGUCCAUAGCAUCUGAUUAUGAACAGCUACUUGCCUUCUAUGUGGUUGAAUGGUUUGGUUCAUUGGUGAAUUACGCACAUGACGUGUUUGAUGGUAUGUGUUAGGGGUGACAUGUUACGUGAUCUUUGACGAUGAACGCAAGAUAAGAGUUUUACUUAUCAUUUGAUCAGAAUGGAAUAAUGGGAGUGGAGUAAGAUGCCUUGGUUUUAGUCACAGAGUAUGUGCCUGAUUACAUGGAAAUAUGAAGAAGCUAUUGAUUUUAAGAAGUAUACUUCUAGAACUGAAGCUGGAGACGAUAAUGCAAGCUCUCUUUUCUGAUAAAGAAGUCACUGGGAUGGAUAUCUGUCUAAUAGGUAGAACUGGAGAACAAGCAAGUUGAUUUGGGAUCCUUUAUCUACGAGUCUUGAGGCCUAUCUUUCAAUACAUCUUUAUGGAGCAAUUCUUUCAUAGCUGAAGAGCUAUCUAUGUUGAUUACCAUUCCAAUGAGAAUACUCAGGAUACAAUUAUCUACUGUUGCAGGACCUCCAUAGUUUGAAUGGCAGCAUGUCCGUAUGAUUUGGCCUUGGCACUGGAGGUACAAAGUCUUGAUUUGUUGCAUCCAUCAUUUGCAUCGAUCGAACGUUCAUCUGUUGUUUUGCUGUUGCUCGAUGCUUGCAUUCUGGCAGCAGCUUGGGAUGGAUAGCCAAGAUCAUCAAAAUAAGGCAGCCCAACCUUGUGC